rnacentral:rRNA from 1 species
UGGGGAAUAUUGCGCAAUGGGCGAAAGCCUGACGCAGCGACGCCGCGUGAGGGAAGAAGGCCUUCGGGUCGUAAACCUCUGUCUAGAGGGAAGAAACCAUUGAGGUCGAACAGGCCUCUUUGCUGACGGUACCUCUGAAGGAAGCACCGGCUAACUCCGUGCCAGCAGCCGCGGUAAUACGGAGGGUGCGAGCGUUAAUCGGAAUCACUGGGCGUAAAGCGCACGUAGGCGGUGUCGUACGUCGGAUGUGAAAGCCCGCGGCUCAACCGGGGAACGGCAGUCGAUACUGCGAUGCUUGAGUGCCGGAGAGGGUGGCGGAAUUCCAGGUGUAGGAGUGAAAUCCGUAGAUAUCUGGAGGAACACCAGUGGCGAAGGCGGCCACCUGGCCGGCAACUGACGCUGAGGGACGAAAGCGUGGGGAUCAAACA